rnacentral:lncRNA from 1 species
CACACAGCACCACCUCUAAAGCAGUCUUGUCACAAAAUAUUAAACCUGGACCUGAUCAAGCAUCUGGACUGGCUUAUGGAUAUAGAGAAAAUGUAGGGGAUAGAUGAGCACGGGAAAUGUCUCCGUGGGGCAAAAUUCACGAAAUUCAGAUUGUUGGACACUCUCCAGGACAAAAGGUCUAGAUUCUUCAAAAACAACAACAUCGAAAAAAAAAAACUGCCAGAAAGAAAAAAUACAGAGGGAGAAGACUGUUCUGAGCCACAGUGUUUCACAUGUCUUCCUGGAGAUGUCCCACAUGACUUGAGCAACCAGCUGGAGCUCUGGAGAAACUGUGGCCAUCCUGAGGAAGAAACAGGCCCAGAGAAGUUGGGUAACUCAUCAAAGGUCACAGAGCUAAGAGUGGCAGAGUCAGGCCUGGAGCCCAGGAAGUCUGGUUUCGAAUUUCAUGCUUCUAACCUGAGCACUGUACUGCUUGGUGGAGUUCUCUGCUAGUCCUACCUUUCAGGCAGAGGUGAUGCAGCAAGAAAGCUGCCACCAGAUGCAGCCCCUUGAUCUCGGACUGCCCAGCCUCUAGAACUGAGUUGAAGAGCAAUUCCCUCCAGUUUCCAUUAGAAAUGCUUCUUCUUCCAUAUCAAAUAUUGUGAGAUAGCCUGAAACACCUUUCAACACUUUACUACCCUUCUCCAAAAUUCAACAGAUAUGAUUUCCACGGACUUUACUCACAGGGGCUUCAGUAGAAGAGGAAGAGGCUUGGGUUUAAUUGAAGGUGGCCUGAGACAUCUGUGAGGAACAGCCCUUUUAGAGACAUAUCCCCUACAAAUAAAGCAUCAGAAUUAUUAUCCUAAUA